rnacentral:lncRNA from 1 species
CUAAAGUUUCAUAUUUCUAAAAGGGGUUGAAUUCUCAAUCUGGGCUCUAAAUAUAGUAUUUUCAUUUCAAAACAGAUUGACUUUAAACAGCACCAUACAAAGUAGGAAAAAUAUGUAGUUUUUGGGAACUCUGUGGCUGAACAUAACCAUUACCAAGAGGUCAUGAGGGGAUUAUACUGUUAAGCAAUGGGUUCAGGCAACCAUUUAUCAACAGGGACAUUCUGGACUAUUUUGUAUGAUAUUGGUCUUAAGCCUUAACUCCAUAACCCUUUCAAUUAAUCAUCACAACAGACUGUUGUCUUUCUAACCCUCUGAGGAUUUACCUCUACAAAUUACAGAUUACUCUAACUAUGGACUAUCCAAAGCAGAAUGAAAAGGUAAAUACACUAUUCUGAAAAUUUUUUAUUGCUUCUCUUUGCAAUUGUUUUGUCAACC